UACCAGACUCCUACGGGAGGCAGCAGUGAGGAAUAUUGGUCAAUGGCCGCAGGGCUGAACCAGCCAAGUCGCGUGAGGGAAGACGGCCCUAUGGGUUGUAAACCUCUUUUGUCGGAGAACAAAACCCGGGACGUGUCCCGGACUGCGUGUAUCCGAAGAAAAAGCAUCGGCUAACUCCGUGCCAGCAGCCGCGGUAAUACGGAAGGUCCGGGCGUUAUCCGGAUUUAUUGGGUUUAAAGGGAGCGUAGGCCGGUCUUUAAGCGUGCCGUGAAAUUUUGUGGCUCAACCAUGAGAGUGCGGCGCGAACUGGAGACCUUGAGUGCGCGGAAGGCAGGCGGAAUUCGUGGUGUAGCGGUGAAAUGCUUAGAUAUCACGAAGAACCCCGAUUGCGAAGGCAGCCUGCCGCAGCGUUACUGACGCUGAAGCUCGAAAGCGCGGGUAUCGAACAGGAUUAGAUACCCUAGUACG
rnacentral:rRNA from 1 species